GGAUUUCACCAGAAGUAGGUAGCUUAACCCUCGGGAGGGCGCUUACCACGGCGGGGUUCAUGACUGGGGUGAAGUCGUAACAAGGUAGCCGUAGGUGAACCUGCAGAAGGAUCA
rnacentral:rRNA from 1 species